rnacentral:rRNA from 1 species
UACAGAGGUCCCAAGCGUUGUUCGGAUUUACUGGGCGUAAAGGGAGCGUAGGUGGCAUUCUAAGUCUGAUGUGAAAGCUCUGAGCUUAACUCAGAAAUGGCAUUAGAAACUAGUUUGCUUGAGGAUUGGAGGGGAGAUUGGAAUUCUUGGUGUAGCAGUGAGAUGCGUAGAUAUCAAGAGGAACACCAGUGGCGAAGGCGAAUCUCUGGACAAUUCCUGACACUGAUGCUCGAAAGCUAGGGGAGCAAACGGG